rnacentral:rRNA from 1 species
AGGCAACGAUGCAUAGCUGGUCUGAGAGGACGAUCAGCCACACUGGAACUGAGACACGGUCCAGACUCCUACGGGAGGCAGCAGUAGGGAAUAUUGCGCAAUGGGGGAAACCCUGACGCAGCAAUGCCGCGUGAGUGAGGAAGGCCUUCGGGUUGUAAAGCUCUGUCAGAUAGGAAGAAUUGCCAAUGAUCUAAUAGGUCUUUGGAGUGACGGUACUAUCAAAGGAAGCACCGGCUAACUUCGUGCCAGCAGCCGCGGUAAUACGAAGGGUGCAAGCGUUGUUCGGAUUUACUGGGCGUAAAGCGCGCGCAGGCGGAUUUAUAAGCCAGAUGUGA